rnacentral:lncRNA from 1 species
CUUGGGCAGUUGAAUGCAGACAGCUCAUAGGGUAAGCUUUGUCGUUUUCGAUAUAGAGAAUUCUUAGUUAUUUGACUUUGUGGAAAGCUAAAAGUUUGGCCUUCAUUUUUGGUUUGAGAGCGAGAUGAUGUUUUCUAUUUGUUAUUCCAAAGUACAGAGGCAAAUCAAUCUUACAAUAUAUUUGUUUUACUUCACACUUGUACAUAACUUAUAAACUUUUAUAAAUCAUACUUGAUUUAUAAACUCUUAUAAAAAGUUACGAGAUAAUUAUGUUUUUUUUUCUCACAACUUAACCGAUGUAGUUUGAUAGAGGCUUGUUUGAGCAAUCUC